UCUCCGUGUCUCCGGGAGAAAAGAUGAGGCUGUUGGUGAAGCAGCGAGUCCACGCGGCCGUUGAAGAGUCUUCUGGGCUGUUGGACACAUUGACAGCAGCUUAUGAGGACACCGUGUCUCCGCUCAGAGAACACGAGCGACACGCAUCAGGUGGGUGCUUCUUCUUCGUUGUUCCGGGUCUCCAGGCCGCGUGGUACGGGGUCUGCACGUGGAGACUGCGGUCAACUCAGCCGACACUUACAUUUCUGAGCCCCUAUAGACUGAUGUUCACGGUAAACGCAUCGAUCGGGAGCGCGCGAGGGUUUUGAUAAAGUUAGCGGAAAGAACCACGUGAAACAACAUCCGUUUUUCAAAAUAAGAUGUCGACAAAUCAUACACGAGCAUAUAAAAGUAAACAAUGAAUUGAUUUUGUAUCUUUAUAGAUUGUUUCUAAGAUUUAGCUGAGAUUACGCUAAAAUUAAAACAUGUUUACUGUAGCAAGGAUAGAGUUUAUAAAAAUAAAAGUCAGACUUGUAUGUUAAAAAAGCAAAUUUCUGAUUAUUUGAAGUCCUGUAAAUAUAUUUCCCCAAGAGUUCCAGGAAAUGACUGAUGCAGAUGUGUUCAAGACAUAUCUGAAUUCCCCUAGCCUGGCAAUCAAACAAUUUUAAUGUAUCAAUUAGGACAUUUUUCAAAGUAGAAGUCCUAAAUGAUUAAAUAAAUCUGUCAUUUCUUUAUUCAGGGUGUCCGCGGGUCCUUAAAAAGUCUUAAAUUGCUUUUCCAAAAAAUAAGGCCUUAAAAAGUCUUAAAUUGUCUUAAAUUCAGAUUGGAUUGGUCUUAAAUUUGUUGGGUGUCAUGUCACUGCGAAUAUGAGGCAAUCUGUUCCGCCAGGUCUAAUAUUUUGCUCCGGUUGCUCUGCGGUGUCUCUGGUGUCACGGGGGCCACGCCCCUUCUCUUAAAGGGGCCCCGCGUAUUCGGUCCCAUCCCUUACAACGUGAAGCAUCGGCUACUUUAGAAAACAUGGCAGGAUGCAAGUUCAACAACGGCUUGAAAAGAACGAGUGUUUCUGGUCACGGUCGGUGAAAUGCUUCUGAAGCUGCGUUAUGUGUCGGGAGACUUUCCAGCGGUGGAAUCUCACGUAGAGCAAGAAGCACAGAGACUAGCGAAGGCCGCCAGCAGCCCGCGGGGCUAGCUCCUGCUCCGCCGCCAGCAACGACGUCAACUACAACGCUGGAGGUCACCGGAGGAAAUCCAGCACCGUGCAACAAAGAGCUCAUCACCCAAGUCCAACGCUGCAGUGCGUUCUUCAUUCUGUUCCACGAGACUCUGGACCAGACCACCGCGAGCAGACAGCUGGACUUCAUGUGCGCUAUUGGUGAAAUGACCAGGUCCCGUCAGGAUCCUAUGGAGCUCAUGGGCCAUGACACGCCCAGGACCUACUUCAGCAUCUCAAAACGUCCAGCAGCUGUUGGUGGUUAAAGAAGAGGUUCCUUUUGAGCAGCAGGUCUGGAGCUCCAGUCUGGACCAGGUGCAUCCAGAACCCCCCCACAUUAAAGAGGAACAGGAGGAACUCUGGACCAGUCAGGAGGGAGAGCAGCUUCAAGGGCUGGAGGAGGCUGGUCUCAACUUCUCAUUCACUCCUGUGAAGAGUGAAGCUGAAGAGGAAGCUUGGUCCUCUCAGCUUCUUCAAAGACAAACUGAACCGAUGGUAAUAGAAGCUGAUGGAGAUGAUUGUGGAGGACCAGACCCAGCCAGGAACCCAGAUCCAGAUAGACCUCCAGUUCCUGAUGAAAAGACUGGAGACUCUAAAGAACCAGAUACUGAUGAGACUGGAGACUCUUCAGGACCAGAUACUGAUGACUCUGUUGAUUGGAAGAAGACUAGAGAACCUCAAGCAGGUUUAAACUCCCUGAAUAAUGAGGUUUCUGUUUGUGAUUCAAAAUGUAGUUUUAGUCAGAAACCAUUAAGCUGCUCUAAAUGUGGAAAAAGAUUUCACCUCAAACGAGAUUUUAAGAAACACAUGUUAACUCACACAGGAGAGAAACCUUUCAGCUGCUCACUCUGUAAAACAUCUUUUGCACAGAGUGGAAAUUUAAAGAGACACAUGUUAACUCACACAGGAGAGAAACCUUUCAGCUGCUCAGUCUGUAAAACAUCUUUUACUGAGAGGAACUUUAAAGAGUCACAUGUUAACUCACACAGGAGAGAAACCUUUCAGCUGCUCAGUCUGUAAAACAUCUUUUACUGAGAGAGGAACUUUAAAGAGACACAUGUUAACUCACACAGGAGAGAAACCUUUCAGCUGCUCAGUCUGUAAAACAUCCUUUGCACAGAGAGGAACUUUAAAGACUCACAUGUUAACUCACACAGGAGAGAAACCUUUCAGCUGCUCAGUCUGUAAAAGAUGUUUUACACUGAGCAGUCAUUUAAAAAAUCACAUGUUAACUCACACAAGAGAGAACUCAUUUUAGUUGUUCUGGUUUUGGUAAAGUUGACAUUUAUUCGACUCCCUCACUUGUCAACAAGACCUUGAGAAACUGGACCUCCCUCGUUUGGGGCAGUGACUCACUUCCAACUGGGAGGACUCUAUCCACUAACCACUACGAAGCCAUCUCCACUAAGAGAAUAUUAUCUGGGUAGAGUAGUCACUGUGUUUGUUUUCUUUAGCUUUACCUGCCCUGUUCUUUGUCAUCGGGUAUUUUAUGAACCCCCGAGUGUUCCUGUUGUGCUUGUAGCUGCUGUCAUAGCGAUCCAGUCUGCUGAGCUUUGUUGAGUUGAGAUCUUCCACCAAGAAUAUGUCAGCAGACUGUAUUUCAUCAGUUAUAGGUCCAGUGACGUGGCUUUUGUGUGAUACAAUUACAGUUACUGUACUUUACUGCUGCAGUGAGGAUCUGCCUUGUUUGGAGUGUAUUCAUCUUAAUUUAGCUUCCAUCCACUCUCAUCCGCUUAGUCCGGGGUCGGGUCUUGGGGGCAGCAGACCCAGCAGGCUGACCCAGACUUCCCUCUCACCUGCAACAUUUUCCAGCUCUUUCUGGGGGAUCCUGAGGCGUUCCUAGGCCAGCAGCGAGAUGUAAUCCCUCCAGCGGGUCCUGGGUCUUCCCGGGGUCUCCUCCCAGUUGGACGUACUUGGAAAACCUCUAAAGGGAAACGUCCGAAUCAGAUGCCCGAACCACCUCAGCUGACUCCUUUCGAUGCGAAGGAGUAGCGGCUCAACGCCAAGCUCCCUCCUGAUGUCUGAGCUCGGUACCCGAUCUCUAAGGCUGAGCCCGGCCACCCUACGGAGGAAACUCAUUUUGGCUGCUUGUAUUCGCGACCUUGAUCUUUUGGUCACGGACCAAAGUUCGUGACCAUAGUUGAGGAUUGGAACGUAGACCGACCAGCAAAUUGAGAGCGUUGCCUUUCGGCUCAGCUCCUCUUCACCAAGACGGUCCGCUAUAGCGCCUGUUUUACUGCUGCAGCCGCACCGAUCCGCCUGUCGAUCUCUCUCCAUCUUACCCUCACUCAUGAACAAGACCUCGAGAUGCUUGAACUCCUUCGCUUGGGGCACUCUGUCCCACCUGGAGGGAGCAGUCCACCGGUUCCCAGCAGAGCCCCAUGGCCUCAGAUGUGGAGGUGCUGACUCUCAUCCCCGCCGCUUGACACUCAGCUGCAAAACGCCCCAGUGGUGAUAUACAAUAUUAUGGAAUUUGAUUAUUGUUAAGGUGAAUAAACUGUUUUAAAAAGCAGUCUGUGAUUAUUUUCUGCACGUGUUGUGAUAGCUGGUUGUCAUCAGAGCUCAGAUUCAAACCUUCACUGUUCACUUUAAAUGUGAAUUCAGACUGACUAUUGGCAUUUUUAAGGAACAUCAAUGUUAAAACUUUAUCCAGUUUGCCCAGUUAAAUCUUUAGUAAGAAUUGUUGGGUUUUCUGUUAGCACCUGCAGUACUGAAGUAGCUCUGGGGGCGGAGCUCUUGAGAGUUACGGGAACGCUCUCCUGACUGAGUUACUUACAUCUGUUUUUAACGCGUUCUUUCUGAAUAUACUAUUUCAGAAGGUACUAAUUAAAUAUACAUAAUUAUACAGGCCGUUUAUUAUUAUAUAAAAUGAAGUGGUAACCUCAAGUGUGAAGUCAUGUGUCAUUGAAGCUGGUGGCUAUUAGCUAGCUAAAGCUAUUUUAGGUUGACAAGUGUGACGACACAUUUAACCUUACCCGGUCAAAUGUGUUGAGUCCUUUUAAACUGAACUAACGAAUAUUAUCAUCAGAACUAGGGCUGCAACGAUUAGUCGACAUAAUCGACGAUGUCAAUUAUGAAAAUACGCGUUGACGCAUCGCAUAAUAAAAAGAUUCAGUCUA